AAUCAACGCUGGCGGCGCGCCUAACACAUGCAAGUCGAACGAGAAAGUGGAGCAAUCCAUGAGUACAGUGGCGUACGGGUGAGUAACACGUGGAUCAUCUACCUUUUAGUGGGGAAUAACCCUGGGAAACCGGGGAUAAUACCGCAUAAGCCCGAGAGGGGAAAGCAGCAAUGCGCUGAAAGAGGAGUCCGCGGCCGAUUAGCUAGUUGGCAGGGUAAAAGCCUACCAAGGCAGAGAUCGGUAGCCGGCCUGAGAGGGCACACGGCCACACUGGCACUGAAACACGGGCCAGACUCCUACGGGAGGCAGCAGUGGGGAAUCUUGCACAAUGGGGGAAACCCUGAUGCAGCGACGCCGCGUGAGCGAUGAAGCCCUUCGGGGUGUAAAGCUCUUUCGGCAGGGAAGAUUAUGACGGUACCUGCAGAAGCAGCUGCGGCUAACUACGUGCCAGCAGCCGCGGUAAUACGUAGGCAGCAAGCGUUGUUCGGAGUUACUGGGCGUA
rnacentral:rRNA from 1 species